CCGCGCCCCGCAGGAGAGUGGGGGCCCCGGGCCCUCCGCCGAAGGCGCAAACUCCCAUAAUCGCUCAGGCUCAGAACUGCGGAUUCCAU
rnacentral:ncRNA from 1 species